rnacentral:lncRNA from 10 species
GCGAUAAGACGCACGGUGUUCUGGGAGGAGUUACGCAGGCAGGGUUGUGGUUGCUGGCUGUUACCAGGACAACCGGAGGCGAUUGACCGUUAUCUGCGGUUUGGAGCCGUUAGCGGGAGAGGCAGAGAUAUUCAGAGGUCUUUUAGGAUGCGCUAAAGGGUCGUGAGGGCUCUCUUAAAAUUUUCUUCACAAGCGGUUAUCCAGUCGUGCCCCGCGGCCCUGCUGCUGGCCCCGGGGAUCUGAGUCGUACCCUCUUGUUUUUCUCUGAGUCAGUCUUAAGGUGAAAUGAAGUGUGGCCCAGUGGCUCCUCACUGUCGCUUCUCUAGUUUUCUGCCUCCUUUUAGAAAAUUGAAUUGAAAAGACAGGAUGAAGUGGACACAGCAUGUGAAGACAAUUCUUUCAAGAAGUUUGGCUGUCAAGGAAAACAGAGAAUGUGCUAAAGAACAUACAGACACAGAGCAGACAGGCCACCUUUGCAACCACAUGGAGGUUUGUCUGAUAUUGAAGCUAAAGAAGCUAAGCUGGAAGACAGAGAGACCAAGUCCUGAUGACAUUGUUUGAACCCAGAGAUCCAGACAUGCCUGAAAACUAGUUUUACCACUGGACUUAUCCGUUGAAUGAGCCAAUAAACUCUCUUUUAUACUUAACCUUGGGUUUUACCUGGAUUUUUGUCAUUGACAGCUCAAAAUAUUCUAAUAUAGAAGUAUACAUCAUUAAAUCAACAU